CGCGUCUUAAGCAUGCAAGUCGGACGAAUGGCCACCCUCGGGUGGCCGGAAGUGGCGGACGGGUGAGUAACACGUGGGUAAUCUGCCCUCCGGUGGGGAAUAGCACAUGGAAACAUGUGAUAAUACCGCAUGAUACGGCCCUGCGGAUGCAGGGUCGGGAAAGCUCCUGCGGGAGCGCCGGGGGAUGAGCCUGCGGCCCAUUAGCUAGUUGGCGGGGUAAAGGCCCACCAAGGCGACGAUGGGUAGCCGGACUGAGAGGUUGAACGGCCACAUUGGGAUUGAGAACGGCCCAGACUCCUACGGGAGGCAGCAGCUAAGAAUCUUCCACAAUGGACGGAAGUCUGAUGGAGCGACGCCGCGUGGACGAUGAAGGCCGUGAGGUUGUAAAGUCCUUUUCGGGAGGGGGAAUAACCCGGGGAGGGAAUGCCCCGGGGAUGACGUGAAUCCCGGAAUAAGCCCCGGCUAACUACGUGCCAGCAGCCGCGGUAAUACGUAGGGGGCGAGCGUUGUUCGGAAUCAUUGGGCGUAAAGGGUGCGCAGGUGGCCCGACAAGUCUGGCGUUAAAGUGCGGGGCUCAACUCCGUGAUGCGCUGGAAACUGUCUGGCUUGAGUACAGCAGGGGGCGUCGGAAUUCCAGGUGUAGGGGUGAAAUCUGUAGAUAUCUGGAAGAACACCGGUGGCGAAGGCGGACGCCUGGGCAUGUACUGACACUGAGGCACGAAGGUGCGGGGAGCAAACAGGUUUAGAUACCCUGGUAGUCCGCACAGUAAACGAUGCACACUGGGUGUCGGGGGCAACCCCGGUACCGUAGCAAACGCGUUAAGUGUGCCGCCUGGGGAGUAUGCCCGCAAGGGUGAAACUCAAAGGAAUUGACGGGGGCCCGCACAAGCGGUGGAGCAUGUGGUUUAAUUCGAU
rnacentral:rRNA from 1 species